ACCUACUGGUGAUGUGGACCUGACCCUCCGCCAUGUAGCAGACAACCCCCUCAGGUCCUGCGGUGUAUCUUCCCAAGUGGCGUGGAUGUGAGGAGACACGACAUUUCACCUGAUGUUCCAUGGGUGACCCUACUGGUGAUGUGGACCUGACCCUCCGCCAUGUAGCAGACAACCCCCUCAGCCCCAGGGUGACACUAUCACCCAUACCUGGAAGCUUAAACUGUUCUCUUCCACAGGUCCUGCGGUGUAUCUUCCCAAGUGGCGUGGAUGUGAGGAGACACGACAUUUCACCUGAUGUUCCAUGGGUGACCCUACUGGUGAUGUGGACCUGACCCUCCGCCAUGUAGCAGACAACCCCC